UACGCAGGCUGGCAGCUAGGUCAGUGGUGAAAUCCCACCGCUCAACGGUGGAACUGCCAUUGAUACUGGUUGUCUUGAGUACAGUAGAGGUAUGCGGAAUGUGACAUGUAGCGGUGAAAUGCAUAGAUAUGUCAUAGAACACCGAUUGCGAAGGCAGCAUACUGGACUGUAACUGACGCUGAGGUACGAAAGCGUGGGGAGCGAACAGGAUUAGAUACCCUGGUAGUCC
rnacentral:rRNA from 1 species